rnacentral:snoRNA from 1 species
GGGCGAUGAUUAUAAAGAGAGAGGAUUGAGUGGGGAGUAUGAACAAACUCUCAUGGGAUUGGAGAAAAAAACUCAAAUCGAAAUCGAAGGAGAAAAUAGUUUUUUUUUCCCUUUUUCGAUUUUGGGCACUUUUUUCUUCAUCCCUAACCCUCGAUGAAGGUCCUUCCAAUUCGUACACUUGAUAUGAGCCCU